AAUUUGGAGAGUUUGAUCCUGGCUCAGGACGAACGCUGGCGGCGUGCCUAAUACAUGCAAGUCGAGCGAAGAUAUGUAAGUACUUGUAC
rnacentral:rRNA from 1 species